GACGAACGCUGGCGGCGUGCCUAAUACAUGCAAGUCGAACGCACUCUCGUUUAGAUUGAAGGAGCUUGCUCCUGAUUGAUAAACAUUUGAGUGAGUGGCGGACGGGUGAGUAACACGUGGGUAACCUGCCCUAAAGUGGGGGAUAACAUUUGGAAACAGAUGCUAAUACCGCAUAAAACCUAACACCGCAUGGUGUAGGGUUGAAAGAUGGUUUCGGCUAUCACUUUAGGAUGGACCCGCGGUGCAUUAGUUAGUUAGGUGAGGUAAAGGCUCACCAAGACCGUGAUGCAUAGCCGACCUGAGAGGGUAAUCGGCCACACUGGGACUGAGACACGGCCCAGACUCCUACGGGAGGCAGCAGUAGGGAAAUCUUCCCACAAUGGACGAAAGUCUGAUGGAGCAACGCCGCAUGAGUGAAGAAGGUUUC
rnacentral:rRNA from 1 species